AGUGCCUGGCUCCAAACUGAGGGACGACUUCAGCUGAAUUCUUUUGUGGAAUGGGAAGGGGAAGUUAAGAACAUGCUCAGUAUGCCUGUGCUACUUUCAUCAAGCAUUCAUUUGAGCACUAUAAAAAUUUUAUAUAGUUACUGGCAAAUGCUGUGGUCCUCCAAACAUGACUGGCUCCCUGGCCACAGUUCAGUAAUGACAAGUUUAUCAGUACCCAUUUGCAAUUGUUUAUCAUUAUCUGGGCAACUGUGCAAGUAACAUCCACAGUGGCAUUUCAGAACAGGAUGGUUCUUUUUAGCUGAAACCAGAAAGGUCUAAUAGAACCUUUUCUCUCCUCUGUCCAGAGUUUGUUUUGUUUUUUUUUUUUUUAUUCCCCUAAAUUUUCUGCUGUUCAGAAAACCAGACAGAUUCUUAUUUUACUUUGUUUAUGGAGAUGCACAGGAUACUUUCCCUGAUUUGUCUGUCUUUCCUUCCACGGAUGGGCAAGGCCUGAUCAAUUUUACUGAUAAUAAACCUAGGCCAUCUGCAAUGCCUGUUGUUUUACUUCCUUCAAGCUUACCUCAGGAGGUGCCUUUUGCAAUCUGGGACAGAUCCAGUAUACAUCUGCACCUUUGGGCAGGGAUCUUCUCAGUGCCAUGGAGCUGUGCAUUGAUUAUUCUACUGCUUCCCUGGAGGAAUGAGUGUACACAUUUAUCUGUGCCC